AUUGGUGAGCAUCAUUUAUGUUAGAUGUAUUUGCUUUUCUUCACAGCUACAAAUCAUCUGAACAUGUGAAGGUCCAAAGGAAGACAUAACACCAGCUGUAUCAUAAGGAUGAGGCUGCACUAACUUCAGGCACUCAGGGUUAUUUUGCUGCAGGUCAACUGGGCCGAAUGGGCCCCCUGAAGGGGUGAGGACUGAUGCUGGCAAUAGAGAAAAAGAGGCAGCCACGCCACUGGGAAAAUGAGGAGAGAGAAAUCAGAGGAAGGGACUGCAGCCUUCAGAGAAGCACAUUGUCAAUGCAACAAUGAUUUUUUAAAUAGCAGGAUACGAACAGAGCAAAAUUUGCCAGUCUUUCACAUGUUCAGCAAACUUUAUUCUUAUUUAAGCAAAGCACUGUGAGCUAU
rnacentral:lncRNA from 1 species